GUGCCAUCGGCGAUGGACGAUGGCAUCCUCUAUCCAACAUACAUUGUUGAAACAUUAAAGAGCCGAUCCUCCCAAUAAGCUAACCAAACCACCGAACCACCAGGGGCCGCCCCUUGCUCCUAAAUAAAUCUGGCCACCUUACACUGCUGUCAAAACAGCUGAUCCUGUUACGCUUCAGUUGAAGAAUUUUCUUUCAUGGAGCAAAACAAAAUAUCACAGAAAAAGGUGUCCACAGUAUCCUAACCAGAUGCAAAGCGAUGAAACUACACGCAGUAAGAGUUUGUCCAUUUAGCUCACCAUGUACGUCGGCAGACUUGAGUCACAGAGAGGAGUUGAUGACAGGGUUUGAGUCUGGCGAAGAA